rnacentral:rRNA from 1 species
UACGGGGGGGGCAAGCGUUGUUCGGAAUUACUGGGCGUAAAGGGCUCGUAGGCGGCCAACUCAGUCGGACGUGAAAUCCCUCGGCUUAACCGGGGAACUGCGUCUGAUACUGGAUGGCUUGAGGUUGGGAGAGGGAUGCGGAAUUCCAGGUGUAGCGGUGAAAUGCGUAGAUAUCUGGAGGAACACCGGUGGCGAAGGCGGCAUCCUGGACCAAUUCUGACGCUGAGGAGCGAAAGCCAGGGGAGCAAACGGG